rnacentral:lncRNA from 1 species
GGUAAGCCAAACCUUUUCCCUUCAUGCACAAAACUUUUUGCAAUAGACUGUACAUAUGUCUAUGGAGCUAACUCCUGGGGUAAUCUCUCGUGUAUAGUGAGACAUAGAUGCCCGCCCUUUCACAAACAUUACCUGUUAUAGAACUACUGACACGAUCUUGAGUAGAGCUCUAAGAGAUGGGACCUAUAGAAUGGUCUGGAAAAGAGGCCCCAUGUUAUUUACAAUCCUCCACAAUGAGAAAGACCUGGUUCUGAAUAAUAAAAAGUCUGGUGUUUAUUUGGUCCUCUUUUAUAAUAGAGAUGAGAAUCAUACACAAUAUUUUAUUGGCAGUACCAAAAGAUCCCUGGAUAGAAGACUGAAGGAGCGUGGGGCUGAUAUGCAGGCUGGAGGAGCGGCCAUGGCCUUAGCCGGUGG